rnacentral:rRNA from 1 species
AUUGAACGCUGGCGGCAGGCCUAACACAUGCAAGUCGAACGAGUGGCGGACGGGUGAGUAAUGUCUGGGAAACUGCCUGAUGGAGGGGGAUAACUACUGGAAAAGGUAGCUAAUAACGCAUACCCUACAAUGUGGCCAGAUGGGAUUAGCUAGUUGGUGGGGUAACGGCUCACCAAGGCGACGAUCCCUAGCUGGUCUGAGAGGAUGACCAGCCACACUGGAACUGAGACACGGUCCAGACUCCUACGGGAGGCAGCGGUGGGGAAUAUUGCACAAUGGGGGCAAGUCUGAUGCAGCCAUGCCGCGUGGAUUAAGAAGGCCUUCGGGUUGUAAAGUACUUUCAGCGGGGAGGCGUUACCCGCAGAAGAAGCACCGGCUAACUCCGUGCCAGCAGCCGCGGUAAUUC